AGAGAGGAAGCGGUAGCCAUACAGCACGCAACCCCAGGGCUCCAAUACCAAGGGAAGCCUACCCAAAGAGACACCAAUCGAUGAGGUCACAGAAAUAAAAAGAGAACACUGCAAAAAGUUGGACUGUUAUUUAUGGACUAUUUUUAUGGGCUUUUUUCACAUUUUUGAGAUGGUAUUCCUGUUACUGUUAUAUAUUUGUACAUGCAACAAAGGAAUGGAAUUAUCCAUGAUGUCACAAGUAUC